GAUGAACGCUGGCGGCGUGCCUAAUACAUGCAAGUCGAGCGAACAGAUAAGGAGCUUGCUCCUUUGACGUUAGCGGCGGACGGGUGAGUAACACGUGGGUAACCUACCUAUAAGACUGGGAUAACUUCGGGAAACCGGAGCUAAUACCGGAUAACAUUUGGAACCGCAUGGUUCUAAAGUGAAAGAUGGUUUUGCUAUCACUUAUAGAUGGACCCGCGCCGCAUUAGCUAGUUGGUAAGGUAACGGCUUACCAAGGCAACGAUACGUAGCCGACCUGAGAGGGUGAUCGGCCACACUGGAACUGAGACACGGUCCAGACUCCUACGGGAGGCAGCAGUAGGGAAUCUUCCGCAAUGGGCGAAAGCCUGACGGAGCAACGCCGCGUGAGUGAUGAAGGGUUUCGGCUCGUAAAACUCUGUUAUUAGGGAAGAACAAAUGUGUAAGUAACUGUGCACGUCUUGACGGUACCUAAUCAGAAAGCCACGGCUAACUACGUG
rnacentral:rRNA from 1 species